rnacentral:rRNA from 1 species
UGUGUAGGUGGCGCCGUAAGUGGGUGUGAAAUUUCGAGGCUUAACCUCGAAACUGCAUUCCAUACUGCGGUGCUUGAGGACUGGAGAGGAGACUGGAAUUUACGGUGUAGCAGUGAAAUGCGUAGAUAUCGUAAGGAAGACCAGUGGCGAAGGCGGGUCUCUGGACAGUUCCUGACACUGAGCACGAAGGCCAGGGAGGCAAACG